AGAAACCGCAGAAAGUGAGGCUCCUCCAUCUACUGAGGCCGAUGGAUGCUCUGAAGCUGCCCCCACGUCAGAGGUUGCACCUCCAUCCAUUCCCUCCGAAGCUGCCCCUGCUUCAUUGCUAUUGGUGGAGUCGGAGCAGCCAGCUGUGGAUGUCCCAAGUUCGUCCAUCGAGCCUCACAUCGAGGUCAGUGAUAUUUGAAUAUGUACUUUUUGUUCUAUUUUUCUGUCAUUGUAAUGAAAGUUUCUUAUUAAUGAAAAAGUUACCUUUAUGUUCUUUGACUUGUGUUUGUUUCUGAUGCUUGUCUCAGUUGAUUCAAUGUGAUUACUGCAACAGCAUGUUUGUACAAUACCACACUAAAUGUCUGCCAACAACCCUGCCUUUAAGAACUUGAAUUGAGAACCUUGAAAAGGAUCUUUACCGAGCUCAACGAGAAGCA
rnacentral:lncRNA from 1 species